rnacentral:rRNA from 1 species
CGUCCAGACUCCUACGGGAGGCAGCAGUGGGGGAUAUUGCACAAUGGGGGGAACCCUGAUGCAGCGACGCCGCGUGGGUGAAGAAGCGCCUCGGCGCGUAAAGCCCUGUCAGCAGGGAAGAAAAUGACGGUACCUGAAGAAGAAGCCCCGACUAACUACGUGCCAGCAGCCGCGGUAAUACGUAGGGGGCAAGCGUUAUCCGGAUUCACUGGGUGUAAAGGGAGCGUAGACGGCGACGCAAGUCUGGAGUGAAAGCCCGGGGCCCAACCCCGGGACUGCUCUGGAAACUGCGGCGCUGGAGUACGGGAGGGGCAGGCGGAAUUCCUGGUGUAGCGGUGAAAUGCGUAGAUAUUAGGAGGAACACCAGUGGCGAAGGCGUCUUACUGGAUCGAAACUGACGUUGAGGCUCGAAAGCGUGGGGAGCAAACAGGAUUAGAUACCCUCGUACAC